rnacentral:tmRNA from 2 species
GGGGUCGACUGGUUUUGACAGCGAGAUUAAUAGAGUGGUAAGCACGUCGAGCGCUGAGAUACAGCUCGUAAAUAUCAUAUUUCACCUUUUUUAAACGGCGAGAAUAACUACGCCCUAGCUGCAUAAUCCGAAUUAUAGUAGGAUAGUGCCUCGGUCUACUAGGUAGACAAGCAGGAUACUCUUCAGAAGCCUUGGUUUAUGGCGUUUGGUUUUGAGUAUCGUAAAAAUAAACCUAGAAACUAUAGGAUCUUGAUAUAGUUUCGAAAUCAAUUGAGAAUAAGGGGUGCGUUGGCGGUUUUUGGCCGGCAAUCCCACGAAAAUCUAAACAAAAACUAAGCGUGUAGAAAGCUAUUGUAUUACUUGUUUGGACGAGGGUUCGAAUCCCUCCGACUCCACAG